rnacentral:rRNA from 1 species
AUUGAACGCUGGCGGCAGGCUUAACACAUGCAAGUCGAGCGGGGUGAUGGUGCUUGCACAAUCACUUAGCGGCGGACGGGUGAGUAAUGCUUAGGAAUCUGCCUAUUAGUGGGGGACAACAUCUCGAAAGGGAUGCUAAUACCGCAUACGUCCUACGGGAGAAAGCAGGGGAUCCCUUGUGACCUUGCGCUAAUAGAUGAGCCUAAGUCGGAUUAGCUAGUUGGUGGGGUAAAGGCCUACCAAGGCGACGAUCUGUAGCGGGUCUGAGAGGAUGAUCCGCCACACUGGGACUGAGACACGGCCCAGACUCCUACGGGAGGCAGCAGUGGGGAAUAUUGGACAGUGGGGGGAACCCUGAUCCAGCCAUGCCGCGUGUGUGAAGAAGGCCUUAUGGUUGUAAAGCACUUUAAGCGAGGAGGAGGCUCUUUUGGUUAAUACCCAAGAUGAGUGGACGUUACUCGCAGAAUAAGCACCGGCUAACUCUGUGCCAGCCGCCGCCGUAA